rnacentral:rRNA from 1 species
CAGCCGCCGCGGUAAUACGUAGGGUGCAAGCGUUAAUCGGAUUUACUGGGCGUAAAGCGUGCGUAGGCGGCUAAUUGAGUCGGAUGUGAAAUCCCCGAGCUUAACUUGGGAAUUGCAUUCGAUACUGGUUAGCUAGAGUGUGGGAGAGGAUGGUAGAAUUCCAGGUGUAGCGGUGAAAUGCGUAGAGAUCUGGAGGAAUACCGAUGGCGAAGGCAGCCAUCUGGCCUAACACUGACGCUGAGGUACGAAAGCAUGGGGAGCAAACAGGAUUAGAUACCCCUGUAGUCCCUGUCUCUUAUAC